UAAUCGUUAUCGCUGAACCCGAAAAGGGGCGGGGGACCCACACUUUUGGGGCGAAUCUCUUCCUACGGGAAGAGUAGGGUUACUCCUUCGACCCGAGCCCGUCAGCUAACCUCGCAAGCGUGGGAAGGAGAAAUA
rnacentral:sRNA from 2 species